UCCAUUACAAUAAACAGAGUAUACAAUUUAAACCAUAGACAAUGUUUGAAAGAGAGAAAAACUAAGCCUAAACCUAAACCUAACACUACUAAACUCCGAACCGAGCAGACUUCAGUCCUGAAUUAACUCCUUGAUACCCUAAAACAGCUACUGUACACAGCUCGCAAAGUUUUAGGGAUCGCCUCAUCUUCAAUCCUUCAACUUGCAAUCCAGUAAAAACUUACCCAUUCGCCGAUUAAAUCCAUCACUGACACCAAACUCUCAUGCCGAAGUUGUCAAGCUCAACCUGAUAACCGGUUUCGGUGCAGUUUCUGCUUUCACUCCAUUGAGUACAUUCAUCGACACACCUGAAGCAACACUCGACUCUAUCUCUUCAAAGACUCCAGUUCCGAUAAAUCGGUCACUCUCCACAAUAUUCAACUUGGUACUGGUCACACUAUCAAACUGCUUUCCACCGCUCGGAAGCCUCUCCAAUCCACUGCUGCUGUUAGUGUCUGAAGUCCCCGCUUCAUUGCCUAUACUAGAAGGAGUAACAGGCGAAGUCGAUUUCCG
rnacentral:misc_RNA from 1 species